rnacentral:lncRNA from 1 species
UGGCGGAGGCCCAGUGGAGUGCGAAUGAGAAAGUGGAAGCCGGGAGCAUAAACGGCUCUUGUGUCAAAGCGGGCAGUCGUGCGGAGGAGGGCCCAAGAUCAAACUGAAGGAGAUCUUUGAAAGCUGCUCCGAGGUUGCUCUGAUCCUGGAGCUGGGGACGGGACAAGAGCUGUGUGACAGGUAAUUAGUGCAUAAACCAGACCUUCCCCGGGACGUUGGGAGUCCUUAACCUAUGGAGGCCAGCCUCCCAGCUGCUGCAUCUACCACCAGGACACAGGGG